rnacentral:rRNA from 1 species
GACGAACGCUGGCGGCGUGCUUAACACAUGCAAGUCGUACGGUAAGGCCCUUUCGGGGGUACACGAGUGGCGAACGGGUGAGUAACACGUGAGUAACCUGCCCACAACUUUGGGAUAACGCUAGGAAACUGGUGCUAAUACUGGAUAUGUGCUCCUGCUGCAUGGUGGGGGUUGGAAAGCUCCGGCGGUUGUGGAUGGACUCGCGGCCUAUCAGCUUGUUGGUGGGGUAGUGGCCUACCAAGGCGGCGACGGGUAGCCGGCCUGAGAGGGUGACCGGCCACAUUGGGACUGAGAUACGGCCCAGACUCCUACGGGAGGCAGCAGUGGGGAAUAUUGCACAAUGGGCGCAAGCCUGAUGCAGUAACGCCGCGUGCGGGAUGACGGCCUUCGGGUUGUAAACCGCUUUCAGCAGGGACGAAGCUUUUUGUGACGGUACCUGCAGAAGAAGCACCGGCUAACUACGUG